rnacentral:misc_RNA from 1 species
AAUGGGACCUAACUCACAGUCUCAUAAGAGAAAAGAGAGCAUCACGACCACACCACCAGCUUUAUGAUCCUUUUCUCUAAUGGCUCUGGGUUAUGCGUGUAUGUAGAAGUAGAAGCACAAGAAUUAGCGAAAGAGAGAUAAAAAAGAGAGGAGGAGGAGGGAAAGAAAGAAAAAAAGAGGUUUAUUUUUUAUGGGUUAAGAGGACUGUGCCUCUGUGCUUCCAACAAGCCAACUACAUAU